rnacentral:siRNA from 1 species
GAAGACAUAAACUCGAGAACAGAAAG